GCCCGUACCCGGGUCGCCCGGUCCGUUUUUUGCCGUGCCGUUACGGUCUUCGCCCCGGUUCCAGCUCUCUCUCCUCCCGACGGUUCAGUUCCCAGGCCCCCCGACGCCGGAUCCGCCGAUCCCCUCCUCCCGGCACAUCCUCCUCCCGACGCCGCUCCCUCAUCCCUGCACCGCUCCCUCCUCCCGACGGCCGUCCAUCCUCCCGACGCCGCUGCUCUCGUCCCGACGGCGCUCCCCUCCUGCCGACGCCGCUCCCUCCUCCCGACGGCCCUCCAUCCCCCCGAUGGGGAUCCCCUCCUUGUGACGCCGCUCCAUCCUCCUGACCUCCCGACGGCCCUCCUUCAUCCCGUUCCCGACGCCGCUCCCUCCUACCGUCGCCGUUCCGCGAGAUCGAUCUGUACUCCCGCCGCCGUCGCCAUCAGGAGACCCUUUGAACUGCCGACCCGAUCCUCCAUUAACUUCAGCUCCACGCGUGAUCAUGGUUGAAUCGCUCGUCAUCCCCCUGCCGGCUCAAGGUACCCUUCAAUUUCCUCAUCUUUUUGUGUUCCUACUGCUAAUUUCUUCCCAUGCUGUUGAUAUGCGUGGUAUGUAGCUCUAUUAGGACGUAGCUUGUUGCAAUCUGUAGCUGCAAUAUUAAUCCCUUCUCAUGUUGCUUGGAUUUAGCUCCUUAAUUCCUAUUGUUAUGGUCAAUUAAGAUUUUUGUUGCAAUCUGUAGCUCCUUUCUACUGUUUCAUUUGGUUAUUAGUAAUAGCCAUUCAUUGUGGCAACCUGGUCCUCACUCAAUGGAUGCAAUUCCCACUGAUCGCAUGUUAUUUAAUCAUUUUGGUGUCUCUCUGCAAUGAUCGAUCCUGCUGCCGACGUACGCUGCUGACUGGUGAGUGCCUGCAACCUAGAUAUGCAUACUGUUACUGUAUGAAGAUAACCUUUGUUGAGAUGCUGCGCCAGCACCAUCCUUUCAGCAGUAGUUCAUUUUUAUUUUAUCUGUUGCAUCAGGGUUUUUUUUUCUGUCGAAGCGAUCUCUUGUGGGAAUUACUUUCUUAAUUGUCUACUACUUCAAAUGAUGCAGGCAAGGUUCUUUUUCAUGCAGAUUUGUGAACCUGAUGAUAAGCUACAUUUGCCACAUGUUUUAGUGGACAAAUCUUCAACUGCACAAGUAUAAUCUAUAAUGAUGAUUACAAUUCUACUUUAAAUCAUUUAUUUAGUUAUUACUCUCAUUCCUUUGGACAGUCAUGCUGUGACUGACAGUUUUAAACUUUUUUACUAUAUUUUGCAGUUAUGUUUCCCAAUCCAUUAAAUUAUUGGUUUCUGACAAGUAUAAUAUCUCUUUGAUCAGUGAGGGUGACUAUGAAGUUGUCAGGAAAGUUGGUAGAGGAAAGUACAGCGAAGUCUUUGAGGGCUCCAAUGUUAACAACAAUGAGAAAUGCAUCAUCAAGAUCCUGAAGCCUGUGAAGAAAAAGAAGGUAGACCUGAAUCCUAUUAUUUGUUCUUUAUAGUUAUCCCUUGAGCCUAUUAGCUUAGCAAGGACAGGCUACUGUUUUCAUUACACAUGUUUAGAUAAUGAUGGCAUUCUUAUUGAGAUUUUAACCUACACCUCUCAUGCUGGUGAAGAUAAAAAGAGAAAUUAAAAUCCUUCAGAAUCUUGGUGGAGGCUCUAAUAUUGUGAAGCUGCUUGAUAUUGUUAGAGAUCAGCACUCAAAAACACCCAGCUUGAUCUUUGAAUAUGUCAACAACAAAGAUUUCGAAGUGCUUUACCCAACAUUGAGAGAUUAUGACAUUCGCUAUUACAUCUACGAGUUACUCAAGGUUUGAUUCUUGCUCAUACUUUUCUUAUUGCAUAACAGGCUAACGGCUAAUAUAUUUCCUUCCCUAAGGAAGUCUUGGUAACCCCAGUUUGUUCUGGUGUAAAGGCUUGGUUUAUGUUGUUUGUGUAGAGAAGCAUUGGUAAUUUAGUAUUAUCUAUAUCUGCUGUUGAGUUCCAAUGUCCCAAUAGUUUCUUUUUGGGGUGCAUUGUGAAGGAAAUGGGAAUUCUGCAUAUGUACAAAUGACCACACCAGGUUACUUUUGAUCUGAUUAACAACUAUUAGUGAGUUUGGCUCCAUUUAUCUUACUUUUCUAUUUUAUGUGCACAGGCAUUAGAUUACUGUCAUUCACAAGGUAUUAUGCACCGAGAUGUGAAGCCUCACAAUGUUAUGAUAGAUCAUGAGCUUCGUAAACUCCGGCUGAUAGAUUGGGCUCUUGCUGAAUUCUAUCAUCAUGGCAAGGUAUUAUACAGAGAACAGUAGGACACACUCAUAACAGGCAAGGGCAGAGACACGCUAACCGAAUCAUCAGCUGGGCUCCAUCAAUCUUCAGUUGUAUAAUAGCGGUUGGGUCACUUGACGGAAACAAAAGAUUACGAGGGAGCCUAUGUUGUAGCCUGUCUUUAACUGCAUUGAGAAGGAACGCAAAUUUGUUCAGAUUAUGAGCUUGAGAUGUGAUUGCGAACAUUAUUUUCAUGUAAGGUGUUUGCCAUAAAAGGUUAUCUGUUAGCAGAUUGUACUACUGUAUUAUUGAGCUUGUAAAGAAUUACCAACCUUUUGUUUGGACCCCAUCAAGCUCUCUCGUGGGCUAUUAUU